rnacentral:rRNA from 1 species
GACGAACGCUGGCGGCGUGCUUAACACAUGCAAGUCGAACGGAAAGGCCCUGCUUUUGUGGGGUGCUCGAGUGGCGAACGGGUGAGUAACACGUGAGUAACCUGCCCUUGACUUUGGGAUAACUUCAGGAAACUGGGGCUAAUACCGGAUAGGAGCUCCUGCUCCAUGGUGGGGGUUGGAAAGUUUCGGCGGUUGGGGAUGGACUCGCGGCUUAUCAGCUUGUUGGUGGGGUAGUGGCUUACCAAGGCUUUGACGGGUAGCCGGCCUGGGAGGGUGACCGGCGACAUUGGGACUGAGAUACGGCCCAGAAUCCUACGGGAGGCAGCAGUGGGGAAUAUUGCACAAUGGGCGGAAGCCUGAUGCAGCAACGCCGCGUGCGGGAUGACGGCCUUCGGGUUGUAAACCGCUUUCGCCUGUGACGAAGCGUGAGUGACGGUAAUGGGUAAGGAAGCACCGGCUAACUACGUG